rnacentral:rRNA from 1 species
UACGUAGGGGGCAAGCGUUGUCCGGAAUUAUUGGGCGUAAAGAGCGCGUAGGCGGUCCGAUAAGUCGGCUGUGAAAGUCAGGGGCUCAACCCUUGAAAGCCGGCCGAUACUGUCGGACUAGAGUCCGGAAGAGGCAAGUGGAAUUCCCGGUGUAGCGGUGAAAUGCGCAGAUAUCGGGAGGAACACCAAUGGCGAAGGCAGCUUGCUGGGACGGUACUGACGCUGAUGUGCGAAAGCGUGGGGAGCAAACAGG